UAAGUUCUUGCAGAUAUUACUGACUUGAAAAUGAAUUCCAGAUGGCAAUGGAUCUACGAGGACAGCAAAGUUCCUCCUCCAUUUCCAAAGGAGAACCUGAAAAGGGGUAUUAAUCUCAAGUGGAUCAGAGGAACCAUCGGAGGAACUAUACUAUUUGCAUCAGAAGCAGUCUACAGACUCCCACUACUUCAAGCGUGUCUGACAGCAGAAGGCCCCAUGGAUUAGAUGCCAGCUGGCUGGAUACUGUAUUUAAGUUAAGCAUAUGUUAAUCAAGCUAUAGGUAGGAGAUACAAUCCAGUCAGUUAGCUGUUGAAACUAAACAUACUGGUUUAUAAGGAUGUAUUGUUAGGGCCAAGAAAAUAAGUAUUUACAACCUCCAAUUUGUAGUUCUAUUGACUCAUGUUGGGAAACACCAUGCUUGGCAGAGCCUGCCAAACCAGGCUGAGACUGUGCAGACUGCACUGCUGAUGUAUUAAAUGUAUAUCUAAUUCAAGAUGUGACUUGUAAUUAAAACUUAAUUGUCAGAAAGCAUAAGCAUUUGAAAUUAUUCCUUUUACAUUACUAAAGUGAUCUUUAGAAAUGUCUGAAACUCAGUCCCUCAUUAUCCCUCUUCCCUUCCCUUUGAGUGUUUUGAGGUGAAACAUGGAUUAGAAAAUACUGAACAGGCUAGAGAGAAUCACAAUAUAUUUUCAAAAUCAGUAAUAUUCUUUUUUAAAUUUAAGUACUAAACUUUAUUUUCCUCCAGGUAAUUCCAAUUUUUUUUUUUUUUUUUUUUUUUGUGAAGGAAAAAAUAAAAUAAUUACUUGCAUAAACAAAACUGUUCUUUGAUUUUCCAUCUUCCAGACACUUUAAGAAUACUAAUGCAUGAAAAUAAUUAGAUAUGAUUUUAUCUAAGAAACAAUUUUCCUUAUGUUGAUCAUGAAAUGCAUUCAAAAUAAAGAAAUCAGCUUCUGUAAGUUCUACAGAAAUUAAUUACUUCUACAAAAGAAUGUUUUCACAAAAGCAGUAAAAUUUCCUGCCCAAAGCACUUCAGAAGUGCAAAUCAAUGUAUAAAUCUAAAGUAUUCUCACUCACAAUUCAAUAAAUUAUUCUAUGUAGUUAUUUUACAGAAUAGUUUCACUUCAGAAUUCAAUAGAGCAGAUGACAAUAAAUGCCGCAACCUUAUUCCAAGAAAACUGAAUAUUUCACAGGGUUAGCAGCUGUGGCUUAUAAGUGUUGCUGUUUGAAAGACCACAGUAGGAUGUAAAGAGAAAAAGAGCUGGUCAUUUCUCUCCUUUUAGUAAUUUUAAUAUGUUGAAAUGUUCUGUAAAAGUAGAACUAAAAUUAAAAAUAAAAUCUUAAAAUGAUUAAGAC
rnacentral:lncRNA from 7 species